rnacentral:rRNA from 1 species
UACGUAGGGGUCGAGCGUUGUCCGGAGUACUGGGCGUAAAGCGUGUGCAGGCGGCUCAUUGCGCCCGGCGUGAAAGCCCCCGGCUCAACCGGGGAGAGUCGUCGGGGACGGGUGAGCUUGAGGGUAUCAGGGGCUGGUGGAAUUCCCGGUGUAGUGGUGAAAUGCGUAGAUAUCGGGAGGAACACCCGUGGCGAAGGCGGCCAGCUGGGAUACACCUGACGCUGAGACACGAAGGCGUGGGGAGCGAACGGG